rnacentral:rRNA from 1 species
AGAGUUUGAUCGUGGCUCAGAUUGAACCUCAGUGCUCAGAUUGAACGCUGGCGGCAGGCCUAACACAUGCAAGUCGGGCGAGAAAGCACUUCGGUGUGAGUAGAGCGGCGGACGGGUGAGUAACGCGUAGGAAUUUGCCCAGUAGUGGGGGACAACAUGUGGAAACGCAUGCUAAUACCGCAUACGCCCUACGGGGGAAAGCAGGGGAUCUUCGGACCUUGCACUAUUGGAGAAGCCUGCGUCGGAUUAGCUAGUUGGUGGGGUAAAGGCCCACCAAGGCGACGAUCCGUAGCUGGUCUGAGAGGAUGAUCAGCCACACUGGGACUGAGACACGGCCCAGACUCCUACGGGAGGCAGCAGUGGGGAAUAUUGCGCAAUGGGGGAAACCCUGACGCAGCCAUGCCGCGUGUGUGAAGAAGGCUCUAGGGUUGUAAAGCACUUUCAGUAGGGAGGAAAGGGUAGUAGCUAAUACCUGCUAUCUGUGACGUUACCUACAGAAGAAGCACCGGCUAACUCCGUGCCAGCAGCCGCGGUAAUACGGAGGGUGCAAGCGUUAAUCGGAAUUACUGGGCGUAAAGCGCGCGUAGGCGGUUUUGUAAGCUGGAUGUGAAAGCCCUGGGCUCAACCUGGGAACUGCAUUCAGAACUGCAAGGCUAGAGUUUGGUAGAGGUGAGUGGAAUUUCCUGUGUAGCGGUGAAAUGCGUAGAUAUAGGAAGGAACAUCAGUGGCGAAGGCGACUCACUGGACCAAAACUGACGCUGAGGUGCGAAAGCGUGGGUAGCAAACGGGAUUAGAUACCCCGGUAGUCCACGCCGUAAACGAUGUCAACUAACUGUUGGGGAGACUUGAUCUCUUAGUGGCGCAGCUAACGCAAUAAGUAGUCCGCCUGGGGAGUACGGCCGCAAGGUUAAAACUCAAAUGAAUUGACGGGGGCCCGCACAAGCGGUGGAGCAUGUGGUUUAAUUCGAUGCAACGCGAAAAACCUUACCUACUCUUGACAUCCUCGGAACUUGUCAGAAAUGACUUGGUGCCUUCGGAACGCAGUGACAGGUGCUGCAUGGCUGUCGUCAGCUCGUGUUGUGAAAUGUUGGGUUAAGUCCCGUAACGAGCGCAACCCUCGUCUUUAGUUGCCAGCACGUAAUGGUGGGGACUCUAGAGAGACUGCCGGUGAUAAACCGGAGGAAGGUGGGGACGACGUCAAGUCAUCAUGGCCCUUAUGUGUAGGGCUACACACGUGCUACAAUGGUCGGUACAAAGGGUUGCCAACCCGUGAGGGGGAGCUAAUCUCAUAAAGCCGAUCGUAGUCCGGAUUGAAGUCUGCAACUCGACUUCAUGAAGUUGGAAUCGCUAGUAAUCGCGGAUCAGAAUGUCGCGGUGAAUACGUUCUCGGGCUUUGUACACACCGCCCGUCACACCAUGGGAGUGGAUUACACCAGAAGUAGGUAGCUUAACCCUAGGGAGGGCGCUUACCACGGUGUGGUUCAUGACUGGGGUGAAGUCGUAACAAGGUAGCCG